CCCUUAGAUGUUCUGGGCCGCACGCGCGCUACACUGAUGCAUUCAACGAGUCUAAAACCUGCUCUGAUAGGGGUGGGUAAUCUUUUGAAUGUGCAUCGUGAUUGGGAUAGAUGAUUGCAAUUUUUCAUCUUCAACGAGGAAUGCCUAGUAAACGCAAGUCAUCAGCUUGCAUUGAUUACGUCCCUGCCCUUUGUACACACCGCCCGUCGCUCCUACCGAUUGAAUGUUUCGGUGAAGAUUCCGGAUAGGACUGAUUUGAUUUAUUUCAUUUCUGACCUAAAAGCUAUCUAAACCUCAACAUUUAGAGGAAGGUGAAGUCGUAACA
rnacentral:rRNA from 1 species